AAUGUUUAUUCUUUGAAUCGACAGCUCUCUUUUGAUUUCAUUUGUUUCACACUCGUGCACAACCAAACACACACUCACAAAAUCAAGAUGGAACAUUCUAGGCGUUUGUUUUCAACUGUCUUCAUCCUCCUCCUCCUUCUGGUGACUAUUGGAACGGGUCCAAUGGUUGCUGAGGGGAAGACAAAAGAAAAGUCAUCGAAGAAUGAGAAGUCGUCGAAGAUCUGUGAGUCUCCAAGCCAUAAAUUCCAUGGAAUUUGCUUCAGGUCAAGCAAUUGUGCAACUACAUGCAAAAAAGAGGGAUUUAUGGGAGGCAAAUGUACUGGCUUUCGGAUGAGAUGUGUAUGCACUAAAAAAUGUUAAGUCAUACAAAAAUUAACAUACGUAUUUGGAUGCAUGCAUGUGAACAAAUGACCUUUUUUUUUGUUUUGUUUUUUUGAAAAAGAAUAAAUGAAUGAACUCUAAUCUACCAUAAGGGUUUCUAUCCUUGUCUUGUUUUUGUGCAUUAACCGCACAUGAGUUGUUUUGCAAUAUAAAAUAUCUUCGUAAUAAAAAGAUCAUUGCAUUA